AGCCCUAAGGAAUGAUUUAGGGUAAAGCCUGCCCACUGAUAAUUAUUUAAAUGGGCCGCGGUACUUUGACCGUGCUAAGGUAGCAUAAUAAUUUGACUUUUAAAUGGAGUCUGGAAUGAACGGAACAACGGAGUUUAGCUGUCUCAUUAGUUUUAUUUUGAAUUUACUAAAAAGGUGAAAAGGCCUUUAUGUGAUAAAAGACGAGAAGACCCUAAGAGUUUUUAUUUUUUAAUUUUUCGUUGGGGCGACGUANAGNCAUAUGCAAACACUCUAAAUUAUAAUAGAUCGGUGCUAACAUCUGUAGAUAAACUACCUUAGGGAUAACAGCAUAAUCUAUCUUAGGAUUGUGACCUCGAUGUUGGACUAGGAAUUUUUUAGGUUAGGGAGCUUAAGAAAAAAAUUCUGUUCGAAUUAUAUUUCCU
rnacentral:rRNA from 1 species